GAUGAAGAACGCAGUGAAAUGCGAUAAGUAAUGUGAAUUGCAGAAUUCAGUGAAUCAUCGAAUCUUUGAACGCACCUUGCGCUCCUUGGUAUUCCGAGGAGCAUGCCUGUUUGAGUGUCAUUAAAUUCUCAACCUUAUUGGCUUUUGCUGAUAAUGGCUUGGACUUGGGGGUCUUUUUGCUGGCUUUCAUUAGUCUGCUCCCCUUAAAUGUAUUAGCCGGUGCCCCGCAGUGAACCGUCUAUUGGUGUGAUAAUUAUCUACGCCGUGGACGUCUGCUAUAAUGGGUUUGCGCUGCUUCUAACCGUCUCUCGGGACAACACAAAUGACAAUUUGACCUCAAAUCAGGUAGGACUACCCGCUGAACUUAAGCAUAUCAAUAAGCGGAGGA
rnacentral:misc_RNA from 1 species